GCUCAUGAUGUUGCCUUGAUGAUGAACCAACCAAACAAAGUCAAAGUGUUUGAAGUUUGUGGACUGAUAAAUGAAAAAGUGCAAGAAGAGGUUUUUGAGUGAAUGAAUGAGGUCGGUUAGCCUACUAUGUCAUGUUGGUGUUGUCUAGUGAUGCUUGGCCAUGGCAAGAAAAAUGAGGGAAAGGCAUACUUUUUCUGUGGUGUUUGACAGGAUUUU
rnacentral:lncRNA from 1 species